ensembl:lncRNA
GAAACACCAGCUCUUGGUAGACAGAGCAGUCACCCAAGAGUAAGACCAGACUAACCAUUCUGUUUACUGGAUUGCCUGGAUGACCACAAGAAAGCCUAUGACUCAAUGCCCCACACAUGAAUCCUGGAAUGCCUAGAACUGUACAAGAUCAGCAGGACCCUAGAGCCUUCAUUAGGAACUCAAUGGGGAUGUGGCAAACAACAGUAGAGGCUAACUCCAAUAGCAAAGUCACCAUCAAAUGCUGGAUUCACCAAGGAAAUGCUCUUUCUCCAUGGAGAAUGGAGCAGUGGUCAUUUCCUCUACAUGGAUGACACCAAGCUGUAUGCCAGGUGUGAACUGCCAUAGUCCUGCCGAGUCACCUGAAUGGUAAUAACAAGAUCCAGGAUAUCAACACCUUUGCCCUGCUGGGAUAAUAAGCAGGCCAAAGGAGGCGAUAGAAGCCACCAUGCAUGGAGGGUUUCACCCCGAGGCUGUACGCUAAACAAAAGGAAGGCGGCCGGUGAUUAGUGAGUGUGAGAACCACGCUCCAUAUGAGACAACAAACAUCCACGAGUACAUCAGGAAGAUAGUCACAACUCACUGCGUGCUUAGCGAAUACCUCAGGCAGCAAAAACACAAGAAAGAAGAGGAGCAAGACAAGGAACCAUCAUGGAAGGACAGGCCCCUCCCAGAGACCGACGGACAAACCAACCGAACAUAGUAGUGGUGGACAAGCAGAGGAAGAUGGUUGUAGUGACCGAUGUAGCGACAUUUUACUGUUGGUCAGAGUGGCUGCAGACGCUGGGGGGCAACAGAAGCACCAGACCAUGUGUGUUCAAGGUGUAGGCAGUCAGCAUGUGUUUUCUGGGAUUACUGGGUAAUAGAAGUGGGACACUCUCAAGUGGUCUGGCAGAGACUACUGUGUACCAGUAAUAGGCCAGGCAUUGGCUUUCCACCAGACCCUGGGCCACCAAAACGUGGUUUGACCUGAGGCAUUGCUGGAAGCAAAGUGGGUAGAGGUUUCUUCCUGGAGUGCAGGAAGAUGCAGGAGGCUGUUGCAGCUCAAAAGGAAUAUUUGAAGUUGAUCCAAUGUGUGUUGUUAAACAGCGGAGGAAGUUGUUGUUAAGCAAUGCAAAGUAGCAGGCGAAGUGGGGCAUUCCUCUCGCUGCCGCUGCUGCUCUUUGGCUGUGCUGUGAAGAGGAGCUGCAGCAGAGCACCAGCACAGAUUCUGCGCUCAAGUUGAGAAGUGCUCCGACACAGAUGCUGAGGA